CAGAAAAUAGUUUAAUUAAAAUUUUAGUUUUGGGAACUGAAGAUGGGAGUUUGCUUUCUUUUCUGA
rnacentral:tRNA from 1 species